GACGAACGCUGGCGGCGUGCUUAACACAUGCAAGUCGAACGGUGAACCGGGCUUCGGCCCGGGGAUCAGUGGCGAACGGGUGCGUAACACGUGGGCAACCUGCCUCAGACACUGGGGAUAACCCCGGGAAACCGGGGCUAAUACCGGAUACUCCGACCGGACUGCAUGAUCCGGCCGGGAAAGCUCCGACGGUCUGAGAUGGGCCCGNGGCCUAUCAGCUUGUGUGGGGUAACGCCACAAGGCGACGACGGGAGCUGGUCUGAGAGGACGACCAGCCACACUGGAACUGAGACACGGUCCAGACUCCUACGGGAGGCAGCAGUGGGGAAUCUUGCGCAAUGGGCGAAAGCCUGACGCAGCGACGCCGCGU
rnacentral:rRNA from 1 species